GAUUGCAGUCUCUCUCUCUCUCUCUCUCUCCUCUCUCUCUCCCUCUCCCUCAAUCUCUGUCUCUCUCUCUCUCCUCUUCCUUCCCGUCCCAAUGCAGGUAACCAGAUCUGAACUUGAUCCUUUCUUUCAGUUCAAAGAGAAGUGUUGGUGGCUCUGAAGGCGCUUUCACGGCAGAGCGGCGCUUGGGCUUUAAAAAAAAAAUGUUGAAUGGCAACUGAGAAGCUUCCUACUCGGAAAAGAAGAAGGAAAAAAAAAA